GGCUCCAUAAACGGUGCGUCUGACUCGCGAGUCAUCUGUGUACGUGUUGACUCGUCUUCCGACUACACACAUUUGACGUUGAUGUUGUUCUUGU